rnacentral:tRNA from 1 species
GGAGAGGUGGCCGAGCGGUUUAAGGCGCACGCUUGGAAAGCGUGUGUAUGCCAAAAGCGUACCGGGGGUUCGAAUCCCUUCCUCUCCG